rnacentral:rRNA from 1 species
AUUGAACGCUGGCGGCAGGCUUAACACAUGCAAGUCGAGCGGAGAUGAGGUGCUUGCACCUUAUCUUAGCGGCGGACGGGUGAGUAAUGCUUAGGAAUCUGCCUAUUAGUGGGGGACAACAUUCCGAAAGGAAUGCUAAUACCGCAUACGUCCUACGGGAGAAAGCAGGGGAUCUUCGGACCUUGCGCUAAUAGAUGAGCCUAAGUCGGAUUAGCUAGUUGGUGGGGUAAAGGCCUACCAAGGCGACGAUCUGUAGCGGGUCUGCGAGGAUGAUCCGCCACACUGGGACUGAGACACGGCCCACACUCCUACGGGAGGCAGCAGUGGGGAAUAUUGGACAAUGGGGGAAACCCUGAUCCAGCCAUGCCGCGUGUGUGAAGAAGGCCUUAUGGUUGUAAAGCACUUUAAGCGAGGAGGAGGCUACUGAGACUAAUACUCUUGGAUAGUGGACGUUACUCGCAGAAUAAGCACCGGCUAACUCUGUGCCAGCCGCCGCAGUAAAAC